GACGAACGCUGGCGGCGUGCUUAACACAUGCAAGUCGAACGAUGAAGCCGGAGCUUGCUCUGGUGAAUUAGUGGCGAACGGGUGAGUAACACGUGAGUAACCUGCCCUUGACUCUGGGAUAACUGCGGGAAACUGUAGCUAAUACCGGAUACGACCCUCGGAGGCAUCUCCAGGGGGUGGAAAGAAUUUCGGUCAAGGAUGGACUCGCGGCCUAUCAGCUAGUUGGUGAGGUAACGGCUCACCAAGGCGACGACGGGUAGCCGGCCUGAGAGGGUGACCGGCCACACUGGGACUGAGACACGGCCCAGACUCCUACGGGAGGCAGCAGUGGGGAAUAUUGCACAAUGGGCGCAAGCCUGAUGCAGCAACGCCGCGUGAGGGAUGACGGCCUUCGGGUUGUAAACCUCUUUUAGUAGGGAAGAAGCGUAAGUGACGGUACCUGCAGAAAAAGCACCGGCUAACUACGUGCCAGCCGCCGCCGUAA
rnacentral:rRNA from 1 species